rnacentral:rRNA from 1 species
UAAGGAAUAUUGGUCAAUGGACGCAAGUCUGAACCAGCCAUGCCGCGUGGAGGAUGAAGGCCCUCUGGGUUGUAAACUUCUUUUACAGGGGACGAAACACUUUCUUUCUAGAGAGCUUGACGGUACCCUGGGAAUAAGCACCGGCUAACUCCGUGCCAGCAGCCGCGGUAAUACGGAGGGUGCAAGCGUUAUCCGGAUUCACUGGGUUUAAAGGGUGCGUAGGCGGGCUUGUAAGUCCGUGGUGAAAUCUCUGAGCUUAACUCGGAAACUGCCAUGGAUACUAUGGGUCUUGAAUACUCGGGAGGUGAGCGGAAUAUGUCAUGUAGCGGUGAGAUGCUUAGAUAUGACAUAGAACACCAAUUGCGAAGGCAGCUUGCUACAGAGUUAUUGACGCUGAGGCACGAAAGCGUGGGGAUCAAACAGGAUUAGAUACCCUGGUAGUCCACGCCCUAAACUAUGGAUACUCGACGUUGGCGAUAUGACUGUCAGCGUCUGAGCGAAAGCAUUAAGUAUCCCACCUGGGGAAGUACGACCGCAAGGUUGAAACUU